UGAAACCGUCCUCUCGUGCCCGCGCGCUGAGUUUGGUGAGCGGCGUGUUGGGUAUCUCGGAGCUGAACUCUGGGUGUAAGAUGCAUGGUUAUUUUCACAGGGCCCAGUGUGGCAGCGGCUUUGGCUCUUCAAUACACUGCAGGCUGACUUUACCAGCAGGCUGGGACUGAUAAGGAAGUCGUAUAUGGUUGAAGUGGAGUUCUAGCCCAAAGACAGUCUCUCCACACCUCAGCAGCAAUAACGAUAGAACUCCAACUCGGCUCCACUGCGCCCCCUGUGGCAGCUUAUCUGAAGUGCAGGCACAGCUUUGAACUGUGACACAACAUGAUUGACUUGUUAGUCACACUAUACUUAUUUUGAGUAUUGCGGGUAAGCACGUCACAUCGGCGUCGCUUUCAGGUUUGGAACAACAUGAGGAGAUGUUUUGCUGAGGUCGACCUUGACCGGAAGCGGCCCCGCCUCCUUGCUCUCCUCCGAUUGGCUGAUUGUCAUCGCGAUCACUGGUGUCAAGUGGUAGGGGUUCACCUUCUGGGUGUCAUCCAUGAACUCUUUAUCUCCAUUGAUGCUAAGCUUGUGCGUUUGAUGAAUGAACAGGUACCUGAGUCUUGAUGUGCUGCUCGGGUGCCGUGACAAGACUGGCACAGCUCAGCCACAGCAUCACCAUGAUGGACAGGAAGAGGCAUGCGGCUAAAAUCCAACGCGGCAGUCCCGAGCGCCUAGGGGACAGAAACAGUUUUGCCGCAUUCCUCUCCCCAUGUGACCGCCCACCUGGAAGGAUGCAGAGGCAGCAGUUUCAGCAUGUGGACAUUGAUUUUAUGACCCUCAAGCUCCGGACAAACUACAGCGGCGCGGCACAGGAUGUGUCGCAAAUGAAAGUCAAAGCUCAAGUUCUGGUCCUUGGCUCCACUUAAAUGAGCUUUCAGAGGAAAAAGGAAAGCUGUCAGCAGCCAUCUGGGGUGAAAGCGGUCACUCUUACCAGUAUGUGGCCGCUGUGUGUGGGAGUUGACUUGGGGCCAGGGUUUGUCAACCACAUUGGAGCGUGGGGCUUGUAACUCAGGCAAGGAGUACUCAAUCUCUGGCUGGCUCUGGGAGAAUCAACAAACACACUGUCAAGGGCAGGAAACAGUAUUAUGGGAUUUACUCAGCAGAAAGGCUUCUGAAUGAAACAGUUGGGUUUGUGACCGUUUUGUUGUGGUGAAGUUUUCAACACAAUCAUGGAUAGGCUGGCAAAGCAGAAAAAAAUUGCAGAGUGACAUACAAAACUGUGAUUCUUACAAACAUACAGAUGAUGAAUAGCAUGGUUAAAUAUGAUGACAUAGAGGACAUGUUGCAAAAACUGCUAAUGCAGCUCCUGCAUACGCCUGUAUCAUGGACAGCUAGAAUUGGCAAAAAUAGGUUCCCAAAAGGCAAACAUUGAAAAAAGAAAUACCUGACACCAGACUGAUUUGAUUACUUCAGUUGCAAUAUUUUAUGGAACUGGGUGUUCACUGCAGUGGUUCCUGUUUAUAAGGUAACUGCAAUCAGGGCCGGCACAAACUGCCGCUCUAGGCAAAACACUGUUGUGCCGCCCCCACUUCAAACUCACAAUUAACAUGAUCAUUAGGAUGCAUGUGAAAGACUGGAGAUUGUGUUUAUUGAUAAAACUGCACUAAAAUAAAAGCAUACACAAGCA